AGGGCACCACCAGGAGUGGAGCCUGCGGCUUAAUUUGACUCAACACGGGGAAACUCACCCGGCCCGGACACCGUAAGGAUUGACAGAUUGAUAGCUUUUUCAUGAUUCGGUGGAUGGUGGUGCAUGGCCGUUCUUAGUUCGUGGAGCGGUUUGUCUGGUUUAUUCCGAUAACGAGCGAGACUCUAGCCUACUAAAUAGUUCGCACAUUGUCUCUGUGUGUGUGACUUCUUAGAGGGAUUUUCGGUGUUCAGCCGCACGAAAUUGAGCAAUAACAGGUCUGUGAUGCCCUUAGAUGUCCGGGGCUGCACGCGCGCUACACUGGCAAAAUCAGCGUGCUUGUCCUUCCCCGAAAGGGGUUGGUAAACCCUUGAAAAUUUGCCGUGAUUGGGAUUGGAAAUUGCAAUUAUUUUCCAUGAACGAGGAAUUCCAAGUAAGUGCGAGUCAUCAGCUCGCGUUGAUUACGUCCCUGCCCUUUGUACACACCGCCCGUCGCUGCCCGGGACUGAGCCAUUUCGAGAA
rnacentral:rRNA from 1 species